rnacentral:rRNA from 1 species
UACGUAGGGUGCAAGCGUUGUCCGGAAUUAUUGGGCGUAAAGAGCUCGUAGGUGGCCUGUCGCGUCGGCUGUGAAAACUCGGGGCUCAACUCCGAGCUUGCAGUCGAUACGGGCAGGCUAGAGUUCGGCAGGGGAGACUGGAAUUCCUGGUGUAGCGGUGAAAUGCGCAGAUAUCAGGAGGAACACCGGUGGCGAAGGCGGGUCUCUGGGCCGUAACUGACGCUGAGGAGCGAAAGCAUGGGGAGCGAACAGG